UACAGAGGGUGCGAGCGUUGUUCGGAAUCAUUGGGCGUAAAGCGCGUGUAGGCGGCUUGGUAAGUCCGUUCUGAAAGCCCGGGGCUCAACCCCGGGAGGCGGAUGGAUACUGUCAAGCUUGAGUCCGGAAGAGGCGAGUGGAAUUCCCGGUGUAGCGGUGAAAUGCGCAGAUAUCAGGAGGAACACCAAUAGCGAAGGCAGCUCGCUGGGACGGUACUGACGCUAAGGCGCGAAAGCGUGGGGAGCGAACAGG
rnacentral:rRNA from 1 species